rnacentral:lncRNA from 1 species
UACAUCUGAAAGAUAAAUGAUUAAUGGAUUAACAAGAUCUUUGAAGAAAAAAAGAAAUAUGACAAGAAGUAAUUGUAACAGGAUGCUGUUACGAAGUCUCCCAAACAAAGCUCCCAUAACUCGCCAUUUAUAUGGUCCCAUGUUCAUUUGAUUUGAUUUUUUUGUCCAAUACAAGAAUAUAUAUGGCUUACGGGUGGGGAUCUCCACCAUUUACAAGUAUUCAAACAGGUGGGGGUGGUGGUAACCCCCAGAGACUUUACCUACAUUUCAUUUGAUUUGUUUUAUUGUCCCAUACAAGAAUAUAUGUGGUUUAGGGGUGGGGAUGUUGACCGUUUACAAGUUUUCAAACAAGAGGGGGUGGGGUGACCCCCUCGGGACUUCCCUUUUAUUUCAUUUCAUUUGUUAUAUUGUCCCCUACAAGAAUAAAUAUGGUUUAGGGGUGGGGAUCUGGACCAUUUUCAAGAUAAUAGCACAUUCUCAAAUUGAACGGGGUGGGGGCAAACCCCAGGAACUUCCCUUUAAUUUCAUUUGAUUAGCUUUAUUGUCCCAUACAAGUAUAUAUUUGGUUUAGGGGUGGGGAUGUUGACCGUUUACAAAGUUUUCAAACAAGAGGGGGUGGGGUGACUCCCUCGGGACUUCCCUUUUAUUUCAUUUCAUUUGUUUUAUUGUCCCCUACAAGAAUAUAUAUGGUUUAGGGGUGGGGAUCUGGACGCUUUACAAGAUAAUAGUACAUUCUCAAAUUGAACGGGGUGGGGGUGACCCCCAGGAACUUCCAUUUAAUUUAAUUUGAUUAGUUUUAUUGUCCCAUACAAGAAUAUAUAUGGUUUAGGGGUUGGGAUGUUGACCGUUUACAAGUUUUCAAACAAGAGGGGGUGGGGUGAGCCCCUAGGGACAUCACUUUUAUUUUAUUUCAUUUCAUUUGUUUUAUUGUCCCCAUCAAGAAUAUAUAUGGUUUAGGGGUGGGGAUCUGGACUGUUUACAAGAUAAUAGCACAUUCUCAAAUUGAACGGGGUGGGGAUGACCCCCCAGGGACUUCCCUUUAAUUUCAUUUGAUUUUUGUUAUCGUCCCAUUCAAGAAUAUAUAUGGUGUAGGGGUGGGGAUCUGGACCGUUUACAAGAUAAAAGCAUAUUCUCAAAUUGAAGGGGGUGGGGAUGACCCCCAGGGACUCUCCCUAUAUUUCGUGUGAUUUGUUUUAUUGUCCUAUAAUCAUUUCUGAAGACUGCAUGUAUCUAUCACUUACAGUUUUUAAGUAAUAUUCAUUUGAAAAUUUUAGAAAAUAAAAUCCCAU